UACGUAGGUGGCAAGCGUUGUCCGGAUUUACUGGGUGUAAAGGGCGUGCAGCCGGGCUGACAAGUCAGAUGUGAAAUCCCGCGGCUCAACCGCGGAACUGCAUUUGAAACUGUCAGUCUUGAGUACCGGAGAGGUCAUCGGAAUUCCUUGUGUAGCGGUGAAAUGCGUAGAUAUAAGGAAGAACACCAGUGGCGAAGGCGGAUGACUGGACGGCAACUGACGGAGAGGCGCGAAAGCGUGGGGAGCAAACAGG
rnacentral:rRNA from 1 species